CUAAUAGCACUGAAGGUGGCAGUUCAUACUGUGUGGGACAGAAGGUGAUGCACACGAUACACCCAUCUGAAGAGUUGAGCUCAUCUGCUUGUCAAGUGUCGUACUCUAGGCCUAAACAGCUGCUACUUUGACAAAGUUUCCUGGGACUUCAUAAGGUGUGAUCAGUGACGCUGUUACGAGAAAAAUUGUGGCGUCGAAAUAUCACCUGAAGGGAAACAUCAGGAACCUCAUCAGAAUACCACAAAUAAACUUUUAUGUCAUUAAUGUCAUUUACCACAGUUAACACCACUUUCUAUUCCCUGUGUUGUAGUUUUUGUAUAUUUACAUGAUAAUAAAGUUGUGUGUAUUGUA